AACGCACGAGACCUGCGGACCUGCGGAAGGAUCAUUAAUGAAUGCUUUUGGGGAAGUUCUGUUGCUGGCUGUAAAAGGCAUGUGCACGUUCUUCUCUGAAUCCCUCUUCAUCCACCUGUGCACUUUUGUAUAGGAGUUUCUUUAUUCGAGCUUCAUGCGGGACUUUGUAAAAAAAAGCUCAAGCCUCUGAAACUUUUUGAAGGGCUUCUAUAUGUUUAUAAACCUAUCGAUGUAUGUCUA
rnacentral:misc_RNA from 1 species